AGAAUCCCAAGCAGACUCUGGGCUGGGUGUGUGGAGCCCCAAACGGGGCUUGAUCCUGCAACUGGAGAUCAAAACCUGAGCCAAAACCAAAAGUCAGAUGCUUAACCCACUGAGCCACCCAGGUGUCCUU